rnacentral:rRNA from 1 species
GACGAACGCUGGCGGCGUGCUUAACACAUGCAAGUCGAACGGAAAGGCCUGCUUUCCCUUGUGGAUUGCGGGUACUCGAGUGGCGAACGGGUGAGUAACACGUGAGUGAUCUGCCCCCAACUUGGGUAUAAGCCUGGGAAACUGGGUCUAAUUCCCGAUAGGACUGCAGGGUGGUGCCUGUGGUGGAAAACGAUUUUCUAGUGGUUGGGGAUGAGCUCGCGGCCUAUCAGCUUGUUGGUGGGGUAAUGGCCUACCAAGGCGGCGACGGGUAGCCGGCCUGGGAGGGUGGACGGCCACAUUGGGACUGGGAUACGGCCCAGACUCCUACGGGAGGCAGCAGUGGGGAAUAUUGCACGAGGGGCGGAAGCCUGAUGCAGCGACGCCGCGUGGGGGAUGACGGCCUUCGGGUUGUAAACUCCUUUCGACCGCGAGGAAGCCACCUGGUUGGAAGGGUGGUGACGGUAGUGGUAGAAGAAGCACCGGCUAACUACGUG